ACGGCGAAUGCCGAUGGAACUACAGGAAUCAACAGGUCGCGGGUUCGAAUCCCGCCAUCGCACUCAGCGAUGUAGCUCAGUUGGAUAGAGCCGUUGGCAAAUGUUUCAUCACCCCCUUGUCGCCGUGCC
rnacentral:Y_RNA from 1 species